AAGUCUACUGUGCAGGUAUCUUCACCUGACAAUAUCUUUGUUAUAGGAACAUGGUGUAUUUUUUUAUUGCUUUUCAAUAGCAUUUUUAUACUGGGGCUUGUCAUGUUUAUUCCAACUUAUGGGGCUGAAUUUCUGAAGAUUUGAGCAUAUGUGUUAAUGCACAGCCGAUUGAAGAAAGUCAAAACAUUUUGAGGAUUUGAAUGAAGGAAAAAUCCAGAAUCAGACUGGCACAAGGAAAGAGAGAAGGCAGCAGAGUGUAACCAAUUCCAAGGCAUCUGCUUGUAAAUUAGUGGUGCUGGUGAUGUCUGGAUCUUAGCACCACAAUAUCCUCUUGAAACCACUCCCUGCUCAUUCUUCCCAGAGGAUCCAGGAGAAAGGAUUUUGGGUCUGAGUCCAGUGAAGUAUUUCUAAGCAUGCUUAACUCCAGGCACAUGACUACUCCAGCAAACAUUUGGAAGGCUUUCUACAGGC